rnacentral:rRNA from 1 species
ACGAACGCUGGCGGCGCGCUUAAACAUUCACGUCGAGCGAUGAAACUUUAACAGAACCCUUCGGGGCGGAGAUAAAGUGGGUUAGCGGCGGACGGGGGAGGAACACGUUAGGAACCUUCCUUAGACAUUGGGGUAGCCUCGGGAAACCGGGACUAAUACCAAAAAAAAUUAUAAUGACACAUUUCAUAACGAUCAAAACUCCGGUGGUCUAAGAUGGACUUGCGUCCCAUUAGCUAGUUGGUAGAGUAAAAGCCUACCAAGGCGACGAUGGGUAGCCGGCCUGAGAGGGUGAACGGCCACAUUGGAACUGAGAAACGGUCCAAACUCCUACGGGAGGCAGCAGUGGGGAAUAUUGCACAAUGGAGGGAACUCUGAUGCAGCGACGCCGCGUGAACGAAGAAGGCUUUCGAGUCGUAAAGUUCUUUUAUAUGGGAAGAUAAUGACGGUACCAUAAGAAAAAGCCCCGGCUAACUACGUG